rnacentral:rRNA from 1 species
CCUACGGGUGGCAGCAGUGGGGAAUAUUGCACAAUGGGGGAAACCCUGAUGCAGCAACGCCGCGUGGGUGAAGGAGCGUUUCGGCGCGUAAAGCCCUGUCAGCGGGGAAGAAGAAAGACGGUACCCGACCAAGAAGCCCCGGCUAACUACGUGCCAGCAGCCGCGGUAAUACGUAGGUGGCAAGCGUUAUCCGGAUUUAUUGGGUGUAAAGGGCGUGUAGGCGGGAGCGCAAGUCAGAUGUGAAAACUCAGGGCUCAACCCUGAGCCUGCAUUUGAAACUGUGUUUCUUGAGUGCUGGAGAGGCAAUCGGAAUUCCGUGUGUAGCGGUGAAAUGCGUAGAUAUACGGAGGAACACCAGUGGCGAAGGCGGAUUGCUGGACAGUAACUGACGCUGAGGCGCGAAAGCGUGGGGAGCAAACAGGAUUAGAUACCCCAGUAGUC